rfam:Trichobilharzia regenti genome assembly, scaffold: TRE_scaffold0000512
AUCCAGAUGAAAAGUCCCAAAUAGGACGAAAUGCGCAUCCUUGAU